ensembl:lncRNA
UAUUUCCUUUGUAUUUAAAUGUGUAUUUUCUGUGUAUUUCCUCUGUAUAUUUCCUGUGUAUUUGAAUGUGUAUUUCCUGUGUAUUUGAAAGUGUAUUUCCCGUGUAUUUGAAAGCAUAUUUCCUGUGUAUUUGAAAGUGUAUUUCCUGUGUAUUUGAAAGUGUAUUUCUUGUGUCUUGCCGAAGGACCUCAGGGAGACGGCGGCCAUCGUUACCCAGGGAGACGAACUACGAGCUCUAAAAGGCCGUCGGACACUGCGCCUACCUGGAGCCCUACGGCCUUUAGAAAUGAAGAUCCACAACAGACCAGCAGCUCAGCAACACAGGUAAAGACCUCUCUAAACGACAGGUAAAGACCUCUCUAAACGACAGGUAAAGACCUCUCUAAACGACAGGUAAAGACCUCUCUAAACGACAGGUAAAGACCUCUCUAAACGACAGGUAAAGACCUCUCUAAACUACAGGUAAAGACCUCUCUAAACUACAGGUAAAGACCUCUCUAAACUACAGGUAAAGACCUCUCUAAGGGUGCACUCACACUAGGC